CCUUGUCUUUGAGCGCAUGAGAGUUUGGGGGGACAUUCUAGAUCUAAGCCAUUACACCUUAUGAGUUGAGAUUCUCAGGUAUUUAGCCACAGCAAUGGAAAGCUGACCAACACAGAAAGCCUUCAUUCGCCUUUUCCCCUUAAACCCACACUCAGGAUCAUUUGCUAAGAUAGGGAAAACAGAACAGAUCAAGUUUUGAGAAAAGAAAGCAAGAAUUAAGUUUUAUACAUGGCAAGUCUGAGGUACUAAGAGAUAUAUAAAGAGAUAGUUGGUCAUAAAGAUCUGACAUUUAGGAGAGUGGAAACGGGACAGAAAUUUGGAAGGAAUCAGCACAUGAAAAUCAUGGAAUGUUAUGAAAUAAUUUAGGGUGUGUAUACAGGAGAAAGAAAGAGAAUGUCCCUCAGUCCCUUGCCAUGAAAAGGUUGGGAAGAAAGGGCCAGCAAAGGGAAGUUAGGCUUGGCCAAUGCUGUAGGGGGAAUGCAGUUCAGGUCUGUAAUCCACAGGCAGGAAGAGCUGUAGAAGAUGUCAUCAAUUCUUCCAAUCACUGGGAAGGGGUUAAGACGCAGACAGACAGAUGAUCACUAGAUUUGACAGCAUGGGAACCCUAACAAGAGCAACUGUGGUGGUAGGAAGUAAGGUCACAUGUCAUUGAUGGGCACAAUGGAUUCCUGACCUCUCUUCUCUUUCUCUCUUUGCUUCCUGGUUGCCAGGAGUACCAUUGAGCUUACUGUGGACGCACAGCAAUCAGUGGAAAGAAGGUUGGUGUGGUUUGGAUGUGUCCCUUCCAAAAUUCAGGUGUUGCUGAUGUGACAGCAUUGAGAGAUGAGUCUUCAAGAAGCAAUUGGGCCAUGUGGGCUCCAUUUUGUGGAUAGAUUUGGGUUGUUAUACCAAGCACCUUGUGGACUGGGUUCACUCUUUUCCACUCUUCUGCCAUGGGAUGAUGCAGCUUGAAGGCCCUCACCAGAUACUCAUCCAUUAAUCUUGGACUUCCCAGAUUCCCAAACUGUGAGAAAUAAAUUUUUGCACUUUACAAAUUACCCAGUCUCAGGUAUUUUGUUAUAGUAGCAGAAAAUGGGCUGAGAUAAGAGUUAGUUAUCAUCAAGAGUAUUAUCAAAGUCCUGCACCAUAAUCUCAUUGGCCUGGCCAGGUGGCAGUCAUAUUUCUAAGCCAAACACUGAGGCUUAGAGGAUGAAAUGCCUGUUGGUUUCCAUGUUCACACUCCCAAUCUCCAGUAGAAAGAAGAGGAAGGUAAAUUUCUCCUAACCAUAGGGACCAAUAGCAAAGAAUUGGAGGCUCCCAAAUGAACUUGAGGCUUUUUAUCCAAAGAAUAUGAGAUAGAUACUGGUUGGCUGAUAAAGAAACAGCAGACACUCAUGACAAAUGUUUUCUUGGGAGGGAGGAUGUUCCAGGGGCAGCUAGAUCCUGAAAUUGGGCAAGGUCCAUGGUUUAUGUGAGUGGUUGAAGAGCGCCAUGCACUUGAAUUUCAUGUGUUUGCUCUUGAUACAGAGAACAGACCAAGAAGCUACAUUUUUUUCAAACUCUUAUUUGAUUUUGCCACCAUUGUGUAUCAUUCAAAUAUCAUUCUUACCAAAAAAUAGCCACUAUGC
ensembl:lncRNA